rnacentral:rRNA from 1 species
CCCUUAGAUGUUCUGGGCCGCACGCGCGCUACACUGAGUGGAUCAGCGGGUCAGGUUGCGCGAAAGCGUUUCCUAAUCUUGAAAUCCGCUCGUGAUGGGGAUUGACGGUUGCAAUUUUCUGUCAUGAACGAGGAAUACCUUGUAAGCGCGGGUCAUCAUCCCGCGCUGAAUACGUCCCUGCCCUUUGUACACACCGCCCGUCGCUCCUACCGAUUGAGUGGUCCGGUGAGGCUUUGGGAUCUGAGCGGAAAGAGCGUUUCGCUCGUUCUGCCCGGAAAACUCAGUCGAACCUUAUCAUUUAGAGGAAGGAGAAGUCGUAACA